CCGAUAUUCUUCCAUCCCGAUCCUCCUUCUAUAAGAACCCCCUUGUACGACCCCUUCUUCUGAUCUUCUUUCUCUUUCUUUCCUUAAUUGAUUUGUAAACUGUUAUCAGGAUAGUGUCAAGUCCAUUGAUAUUGCCGUUGGAACGGAUCGUACAAACUGUGCAGGCAGUACAAACAGUUUAAUCUGCAACAUCAGUAACAUCUGCUUAAUCAGUGGCACAUCCAUUACAUUAUGAAUCAAUUCAUCUGUGUCAGCCUGAGUGCCCUGUGUUUACAAUCACACCUAGGUGCCCAAGUUAAGUUUAAGAAUAAGUUACCCAAGUUCUAUAAAGCCACACCACUGUGAUAGUGCUGUGAAGAAGCCCAAGUGCUUAGAAGUUCACAACUGCGUGUCUGUGAAGAGGCCAGAGUGCCUACAAAGUAUUUCCUCCAAAAGAAUAAGAACUGAACCUUCUGGUCUCCAAGUUACCAGGAUCAAGAACCAUGGCCUCAUACAAAAACAAGAUGAAUUACAAACACCCCUACAAACACCCUUCCAC
rnacentral:sRNA from 2 species